CCUACGGGAGGCAGCAGUGGGGAAUAUUGCGCAAUGGGCGAAAGCCUGAUGCAGCGACGCCGCGUGAGGGAUGAAGGUCUUCGGAUCGUAAACCUCUGUCAGCAGGGAAGAACGGUCACUGUGCUAAUCAGCAGUGAAUUGACGGUACCUGCAAAGGAAGCACCGGCUAACUACGUGCCAUCAGCCGCGGUAAUACGGAGGGUGCGAGCGUUAAUCGGAAUUACUGGGCGUAAAGCGCUCGUAGGCGGUAUCUCAAGUCAAGGGUGAAAGCCCCUGGCUCAACGUGGGAACUGCCUUUGAAACUGGUGAACUGGAGUGUGGGAGAGGAUAGUGGAAUUCCAGGUGUAGCGGUGAAAUCCGUAGAUAUCUGGAGGAACAUCAGUGGCGAAGGCGACUAUCUGGCACAUAACUGACGCUGAGGAGCGAAAGCGUGGGUAGCAAACAGGAUUAGAUACCCUUGUAGUC
rnacentral:rRNA from 1 species